rnacentral:lncRNA from 1 species
ACCUAAUUAUAUAUUAGUAAUGAAGGAUUUAAUAACUUAAGAGUUAUGGAAAAAGAGAAUUGUGGUAUUUAGAAUACUUACUAAUUCUAGGAGAUUUAUUUUAUAUAUCUCAAAUGAUUAAUUUUAUAACCUAAUUAUAGCAAGUCUAAUUGGGUUAAGGAAAUAAGUGUGCAUAAGCAAGGAUUUGUGUUAUAAUUGAGGAAAUGAAAACCCUAAUUAAAUGAAUUGGGGUGGAUAAGAAUUUAGGUAAUUGGACUAUGUAUAUUUUAUAGCCUAAGUGUUGGCCAAUGGAAUUAGUGAGAAACCCAAGCAAUACAUUAAAGGAAUGGCUCAAUUUUUAGCCCAAGUGGGAGAGGAAUUUAUGGACAAUUGUUAAAUCAAAUAAGCAUUAAAUCAAAGAGCCAAACUUGGUGCAUUUUUAGGCCAAGUGGCCGGACCUAGGUGAGCAAAAAGGAGGAGCAAAAUAGCAC